GCCUGCUGGCCUCCUGGGUUUACGGUGUCACUGCGGCCAGGGCUGGGGGAACAGGACGUCUAGAAGACGGUGUGAGAUACUGGAGGGCCAGAGAAAGCAAGCUUGAAACAGAGAGGAACGGGUCACUUUGGUGGAGGAAAUUGGGACUGAGUCUCGCUCUGUUGUCCAGGCUGGAGUGCAAUGACACGAUCUUGGCUUACUGCAACGUCCGCCUCCCGGGUUCAAGUGAUUCUCCUGCCUCAGCCUCUUGAGUAGCUGGGAUUAUAGGCAUGCGCCACCACCCCCAGCUAAUUUUUGUAUUUUUAGUAGAGACGGGGUUUCACCAUGUUGGUCAGGCUGGUCUCGAACUCCUGACCUUGUGAUCUGCCUGGCUCAGACUCCCAAAGUGCUGGGAUUACAGGCGUGAGCCACUGCGCCUGGCCAGAAUUUUUAAUGAUAAUGUUUGCUUUUUGUUAAUGUGCUUUUAUUUUAUACAGGGAAGUCAUCUGAAAAGACUUGAGUUUGAAAGUUGCCUCCCUUACUUAACAGAUAUGUAACCUUGGCAAGUUACUUAACCUCCUUGGGUCUCAAUAUCUUCACCUGUAAAAUGGCAGUAAUAUCUUUCUCAUAGAUUUGUUGGGAUAAUUAAACUAAUAUACUAUAUGUAUGGUUACAGUACUUGGUUAUAAAUAUUAAAGCCUCAUUCUGUCUGUUGAUAAAUCUGAAAUCUAUUUAAACUCUGAUGUGCUCUCUGUAAUGUUGUUUUUUGUUUUGUUUUUUUGAGAUGGAGUUUCACUCUGUCGCCCAGGCUGGAGUGCAGUGUGGCGUGAUCUCGGCUCACUGCAACCUCCGCCUCCCGGGUUUCAAGUGUUUCUCGUGCCUUAGCCUCCCGGGUAGCUGGGAUUGAAUGGAAUGUAUUUUAUAGAUCAAGUCUCAGCACAAACACUGAUUCCUCCAAGAAGCAUUCAUUAAUUCCCCACCCAGUACUCCUGAUUUCACUAGUCACAGCAUCUAACCCACUAUAUUGUAUUUUCCUGUUUGUCUCUCCUUUUAGACUAAGUUCUGUGAGGUAAGGCUCUUGUUUACUUCUGUUUUUCCACUGCCAAGUACGUUGCCUGGCUAAACAAAUAUUUGAAUAAACUGAACCUGUUUUUAAAGCAAUGGUAAACAUAACACAGCAACAUUACAAAACUAAUUUCUGAAUUGUAUGACAUUGUUUUUUACAACGUAGUCUUCUAGCAAGAUGGCAUUUCUCACUAUCAUGUUUUUAAUUUGCAUCUAAUUAUUGAAUUGGAUCCAGAGAUGUGGUCCAAUUACUUGUUAACUUUUGUCACCUGACCUGUCCCCGCAAAUUAUAUUUUAUAAGUGUGGCAGAGACCACUCAUUCUCAUCAUCCUGUCUCUUCUUCCUUUUAAUAAUAUGACUCUGCUACCCUGCUAUCCACACACUAAAUCUUAGCAGGGUGCAUGGCUGCCAGCUAGACACUACACUGUCCAGUCUGUCUUGCAAUUAGAGGUGGUCCCAUAACUAUGUUCUGGUCAAUGGUGUGUGAGUGAAGCAAUGUGUGUAACUUCUGGGUCAUGUCUUUAAAAAGGAAAGGUAGUUGCUCUCUCACUCUUUCAUCCUUCUGCUUGCUAUGACAUGGUGACACAUUAAGCAGCCACCAUGGACCCAGAGAUGCAAGCCUUUUCUACCAAAGACCAUCUACUCCAUAUAUCUCUGUACUAUUACUUUAUUUGAAGUAAGAGGCUCACUAUAUUUGUGGGUUUCUUUGUUACAGCAGCAUGGCUAACAUCCUUUGAAUGAAAAUUAAGAUAACCAUAUAAUUCAUUAAAUCCCUUAGCCUACUCUGAAGAAUGUUUUCAAGGAGUGCAAAAAAAAACCAACUUUCAAUGAAAAUAGAGUUUACUGAAGUCACUUAUUCAAUGGCAUUUUGUGAAAAACUAUGAAAUUUAUUCUAUCAUGAGCAUAUUCAAAGUUCUUGUAGGUUUAUAAACAUACUAGCUCUUCUAUUUAGCGUUACUUUUUAUCAUAACUUGGAAAUCCCAGAUAGAUUAUGUGGUAGCCUCCAAGAUGGCCUCAUUGACCCUCCUCUCUUGGUAUUCAUGCCCUUUGUGUUUUCUCUUCCUACACUGAAUGAUAGCUGGCCCAUGUAACAAACACAAUACUGUGGAAGUGACAUGUGUAACUUCUAACAUGAAAUCAUAAGAGACAUUGCAGUUUCCACCAUGGUCUCUCUCUUGGAUCUCUUGCCAGCCACCAAGCAGCCCUAUGGAGAGGCCAAUGUGGAGAGAAACUGAGGCCUUCCACCAAAAGCCAGCACCAACUUGCUAUCCAUGUGAGUGAACCAGCUUGCAGUACAGAGUGGUCAACCCCAGUCAAGCUUUCAGAUAACUACAAGCCUAGUUGACAUCUUGACUACAACUUCAAGAGAGAUAUCAAGGCAGAACUGCUUCGCUAAACUGCUCUUGAAUUCUUGACCCACAGAAACUGAGAGAGAAUAAAUAUUUAUUGUUGUUUCAAGUAACUACAUUCUGGGGGUAACUUCUUAUGUAUAGAUAAUAUAUACCAUAAAUUUCUU